AUUGAACGCUGGCGGCAUGCUUUACACAUGCAAGUCGAACGGCAGCGCGGGCUUCGGCCUGGCGGCGAGUGGCGAACGGGUGAGUAAUGCAUCGGAACGUGCCCAGUAGUGGGGGAUAGCCCGGCGAAAGCCGGAUUAAUACCGCAUACGACCUGAGGGUGAAAGCGGGGGACCGAAAGGCCUCGCGCUAUUGGAGCGGCCGAUGUCGGAUUAGCUAGUUGGGGGGGUAAAGGCUUACCAAGGCGACGAUCCGUAGCUGGUCUGAGAGGACGACCAGCCACACUGGGACUGAGACACGGCCCAGACUCCGACGGUAGGCAGCAGUGGGGAAUUUUAGACGAUGGAGGAAACCCUGAUCCAGCCAUGCCGCGUGCGGGAAGAAGGCCUUCGGGUUGUAAACCGCUUUUGUUCGGGAAGAAGUCCUCUGGGCUAAUACCCCGGGGGGAUGACGGUACCGGAAGAAUAAGCACCGGCUAACUACGUG
rnacentral:rRNA from 1 species